GUGCAUGAUUAUUAUCUCUUAUGUGAACAUGUGAAUUUCUAAAUGAUAUUAAGUUUAAGGAUGUUGAAUUCUUUUAUUUCGUUUGUUAUGUGGUUACGUGAUAUUAUGUGGUUAGUCGAUGUUAUGUUGGUUUUUGAUUGUUUUAAUCGAAAUGAAUUAUGGAUGCUAGAACCCUAAAACACUAAAAGAUACCCUAGGCACGUAGAAUUAGACUAUGUCUUGUGACAAUUUUCUUCACGAACUUACCGACUCUUCAUCAAUAAAGGUUCGGGCGACAGGAAGUGAAGCCGAAGAAGAAGCGACUCCACGCUAGCUUAAGAACGUUUGAGGUUGAGCAGCUGAUUGAAUGGAAUGGUGUUGAGCGGGUGUUCCUUUGAUCAUUUCAAGAAAUGUAACCUUGAGUAUACAUCUUCAUAUGUAUAUCUCACACGUUUUCCGCUGCAAAACACUUUGAUUAGGAUAACUCUAUGUUAUGAAGUUGUGACACGUGAUAUUGGGUAACCCACCUUAAUCAGUUCUCCUUUAUGUGUAUGUGUUAUAAGUAUCCAAAUGAUCAUAUAUGAUCCUAGCAUUUUAUCUAUGAGUGACAUUUCCAUAUACUUUAAUGUUAAUUAAUUAUCCAUUUCCGUU